rnacentral:rRNA from 1 species
CAGUCGCCGCGGUAAUACGUAGGUGGCAAGCGUUGUCCGGAAUUAUUGGGCGUAAAGGGCUCGCAGGCGGUUUCUUAAGUCUGAUGUGAAGGCCCCGGCUCAACCGGGGAGGGUCAUUGGAAACUGGGAAACUUGAGUGCAGAAGAGGAGAGUGGAAUUCCACGUGUAGCGGUGAAAUGCGUAGAGAUGUGGAGGAACACCAGUGGCGAAGGCGACUCUCUGGUCUGUAACUGACGCUGAGGAGCGAAAGCGUGGGGAGCGAACAGGAUUAGAUACCCCCGUAGUCCCUGUCUCUUAUACA